rnacentral:rRNA from 1 species
AUUGAACGCUGGCGGCAGGCCUAACACAUGCAAGUCGAACGGUAACAGGAAACAGCUUGCUGUUUCGCUGACGAGUGGCGGACGGGUGAGUAAUGUCUGGGAAACUGCCUGAUGGAGGGGGAUAACUACUGGAAACGGUAGCUAAUACCGCAUAACGUCGCAAGACCAAAGAGGGGGACCUUCGGGCCUCUUGCCAUCGGAUGUGCCCAGAUGGGAUUAGCUAGUAGGUGGGGUAACGGCUCACCUAGGCGACGAUCCCUAGCUGGUCUUAGAGGAUGACCAGCCACGCUGGAACUGAGACACGGUCCAGACUCCUACGGGAGGCAGCAGUGGGGAAUAUUGCACAAUGGGCGCAAGCCUGAUGCAGCCAUGCCGCGUGUAUGAAGAAGGCCUUCGGGUUGUAAAGUACUUUCAGCGGGGAGGAAGGGAGUAAAGUUAAUACCUUUGCUCAUUGACGUUACCCGCAGAAGAAGCACCGGCUAACUCCGUGCCAGCAGCCGCCGCAG